UGGGAUAACGCCCGGAAACGGGUGCUAAUACUGGAUAUUCACUGAUCUUCGCAUGGGGGUUGGUGGAAAGGUUUGUUCUGGUGGGGGAUGGGCUCGCGGCCUAUCAGCUUGUUGGUGGGGUGAUGGCCUACCAAGGCUUUGACGGGUAGCCGGCCUGAGAGGGUGACCGGUCACAUUGGGACUGAGAUACGGCCCAG
rnacentral:rRNA from 1 species